CCUACGGGGGGCAGCAGUGGGGGAUAUUGCACAAUGGGGGAAACCCUGAUGCAGCGACGCCGCGUGGGUGAAGAAGCGCCUCGGCGCGUAAAGCCCUGUCAGCAGGGAAGAAAAUGACGGUACCUGAAGAAGAAGCCCCGGCUAACUACGUGCCAGCAGCCGCGGUAAUACGUAGGGUGCAAGCGUUAUCCGGAUUUACUGGGGGUAAAGGGGGCGCAGGCGGGGAUGCAAGCCAGGAGUGAAAGCCCGGGGCUCAACCCCGGGACUGCUUUUGGAACUGGGUGGCUGGAGUGCAGGAGGGGCAGGUGGAAUUCCUGGUGUAGGGGUAAAAUGCGUAGAUAUCAGGAGGAACACUGGUGGCGAAGGCGGCCUGCUGGACUGCAACUGACGUUGAGGCCCGAAAGCGUGGGGAGCAAACAGGAUUAGAUACCCUAGUAGUC
rnacentral:rRNA from 1 species